AGACGGUAGUGUUGUACUACGAUCAGAUUUUACCUUCAUACCCAGAGACAUGUGCGACGAUAGAGAUGAUCAGGACGGACCUUGUCACCAAGACAAAACCAGCGGCCAUCCGGGUGUUCGACUACUAUGAACCAGAUAACCGAGCCUUGUCAUUCUUU
rnacentral:lncRNA from 1 species